ensembl:lncRNA
AUGGUAGCUCCACACACCAAGAUGGGCAGAGCGGGUUGGCAGGACAUGUGCUCGUCUGCCCUUCAGCCCUGCAGAGCCACCGCCAGGCCCCCGUGUCCCCUUCCCUGGCUUCCACCAGAUCCCUUCUGGAAGCACUUCCGCCUGCAGCCUGCUGUGGGCACGCAUGAUCUGUCUCACCCCAUUCCUAGGCCCAAGGGAGCUCUCGGGACCCCUAGGCUGAGCUUUGAGAGGCGGCGGGCAGACCAGGGCACGCCCAGCCUUUCCUCUCAGCACUACGCCCCACCUCAGGCUCUUCUGGCCUCGGGUGACCCUGCCCAGCACUCAGGUCUGCUUGCAGACCUGCUUCUGGCCCAUGGCCUGGGUCCCCUCCCCAAGAACAGAGCCCAGUACCGGGGCAGCCUGGGGUUGCCCCCUGAGGCCCCGCACCCUGGGGCUCUUCUGUCCUCCUCACAGAAGACGUGUGGCGUCCCAACGCUGCUCCCUCGAGUUUCUGGAAGACACAGUGGGAUGUCCCUCGGGUCAAAGAACCAAACACAUAUCCGGAUCGCCAAGACACAAAGGCCUGAAGAAGACACACUUCAUCAAGAACAUGCGGCAGUACGACACCAGGAACAGCAGGAUUGUGCUGAUCUGCGCCAGACGGUCCCUGUGCGCGGCCUUCUCAGUCCUGCCGUAUGGAGAAGGCCUGCGAGUCAGGUGAGCGGCUAA